rnacentral:misc_RNA from 1 species
CGGUUCCUUUUCAUGAAGAGCUCUGUGAAGUCAGACAAAGUUGUUGACAUUUGAUAAAAAAAUAAUUCCCAUUGAAAUUAAAAGCCAAGCUAAUAUCAGUUAUACAUAAACGCAUACAUCAUUUGGUCCACAAAGCACAUCAUCAUAUAAAAUAAAAAACAGAAAGGUAUAUUUCAGCAUUUGCCGAGAAUAUUUUAAUCCCUCUAAGCUACAAGGCCAGACAUUUUAAAAGUUCUCAACUAAUAAGCAUACUAUUGUCACCUAUUAAUAAAUGAAACUUGUGAGAAGUGAAGAGUUAGGGCUCUCGGGUUUGAGUUUCUAGAGAUCCAACAAUAUGGUGAGAGUUCUUAUUAUUUUAGUGAUAGAUAUUAAAGAGGAAGGCUACCCCCAUUGUGCAGCUCACAACGCUCACACUCCACUUAGAGACAGUUUGUCUGUUGAGAGAAAAGAAUUCCUUAAAUAUAUUAGCUAAAGAGUAUUAAAAAUUGAUUUAUAAUUAAAUUUAACAUGUGUUAAUCAUAAGAAAUCUAAAAUAACAAACAACUUUUUUCAACAGCAUUUAGAAUAGUAUUUUUCUGUUUCCUAAAAAAAAAUGCUUUUUUUUAGCUUCGAACCUCAAUGCCAAAUUAUAAACUUCCCAAAAAAAGAGAAUUUUUCCUCACGUGUUCAGAUAAUUAUUCCAACUCAAAUAAAUUUAUCAAGUACAGUUCAGACUAUACCAAAACAUGCUGAAGAAUUUUGAGAUGCUUUGUUCAGCUUCAAUCUAUUUAUUUUACAUUUGAUUCCAUCAUGAACUUCAUCCAUUGAAUUUGAACCACAAACAGUCAUUCUCUCAAAAGAUUUUUGUUGAAAAGAGAAUAAAAUUCUCUCUAUUGACUUAUGAUGUUUUAUCAACACAAAUAUAAAGAUUCAAUAAAUCCAUCCAACUUUGUUAGAGUAAUCACUCCACAGAAGUUGUGGUUUCAUUCUCUACAGGCCCAGUUUAAACAUAAGGUUCUAAC